GAUUAAGUUAUUAAGGGCGCACGGUGGAUGCCUUGGCACUAGAAGCCGAUGAAGGACGUUACUAACGACGAUAUGCUUUGGGGAGCUGUAAGUAAGCUUUGAUCCAGAGAUUUCCGAAUGGGGAAACCCAGCAUGAGUUAUGUCAUGUUAUCGAUAUGUGAAUACAUAGCAUAUCAGAAGGCACACCCGGAGAACUGAAACAUCUUAGUACCCGGAGGAAGAGAAAGAAAAUUCGAUUCCCUUAGUAGCGGCGAGCGAAAUGGGAAGAGCCCAAACCAACAAGCUUGCUUGUUGGGGUUGUAGGACACUCUAUACGGAGUUACAAAGGACGACAUUAGACGAAUCAUCUGGAAAGAUGAAUCAAAGAAGGUAAUAAUCCUGUAGUCGAAAAUGUUGUCUCUCUUGAGUGGAUCCUGAGUACGACGGAGCACGUGAAAUUCCGUCGGAAUCUGGGAGGACCAUCUCCUAAGGCUAAAUACUCUCUAGUGACCGAUAGUGAACCAGUACCGUGAGGGAAAGGUGAAAAGCACCCCGGAAGGGGAGUGAAAUAGAACCUGAAACCGUGUGCUUACAAGUAGUCAGAGCCCGUUAAUGGGUGAUGGCGUGCCUUUUGUAGAAUGAACCGGCGAGUUACGAUUUGAUGCAAGGUUAAGCAGUAAAUGUGGAGCCGUAGCGAAAGCGAGUCUGAAUAGGGCGUUUAGUAUUUGGUCGUAGACCCGAAACCAGGUGAUCUACCCUUGGUCAGGUUGAAGUUCAGGUAACACUGAAUGGAGGACCGAACCGACUUACGUUGAAAAGUGAGCGGAUGAACUGAGGGUAGCGGAGAAAUUCCAAUCGAACCUGGAGAUAGCUGGUUCUCUCCGAAAUAGCUUUAGGGCUAGCCUCAAGUGAUGAUUAUUGGAGGUAGAGCACUGUUUGGACGAGGGGCCCCUCUCGGGUUACCGAAUUCAGACAAACUCCGAAUGCCAAUUAAUUUAACUUGGGAGUCAGAACAUGGGUGAUAAGGUCCGUGUUCGAAAGGGAAACAGCCCAGACCACCAGCUAAGGUCCCAAAAUAUAUGUUAAGUGGAAAAGGAUGUGGCGUUGCCCAGACAACUAGGAUGUUGGCUUAGAAGCAGCCAUCAUUUAAAGAGUGCGUAAUAGCUCACUAGUCGAGUGACACUGCGCCGAAAAUGUACCGGGGCUAAACAUAUUACCGAAGCUGUGGAUUGUCCUUUGGACAAUGGUAGGAGAGCGUUCUAAGGGCGUUGAAGCAUG
rnacentral:rRNA from 1 species